CUUUCCCGGGGAGAUGCUGGGUGGGAUGCUUCCAACACAUUUACUAAAUUAGGCUAGAGGAGAAUAUAAGCGAAGAACACCAUGAGAAGAGACCUCAAGAACAGCCAUCUGUAAGCCAAGGAACACUGAUGGUUACCAGAUGCCAGGAAAGAGGGCCGAAACCGAUCCUUCCACAGGGCCUUCAGAAGGGCCCUGGCUAAAUACUACAUUUCUGCUGAAGCCCAGCAUCUGGAUAAAAACAGCUGUGACCACAAUUGCAUCUCACUUUCCCCUGUUCCACCACCCCUCAAACUCCUGACUAUUCUCAAAAGAACAUGGUCUUUUCAGAUAUAAAGAAUAAUCUGUCUAUCUCUCCUGCAUAAAAUCAUCGCCUAUACUUGAAAGCAAGAAUUAAACCACCU